UUAAACCAGCUGAGCAAGAGGUGGCUGCAGCAGGGCUGCCCAGACAGCAUGCAGGGGCCUGGUGAUGUAUGUGCAGCUGAGCACCACAGCCAGGAUGCCCCUUGUGGGGCUGGGAACCUGGAAGGUAACAGCUUCUAGAAAAGCACCAGUAUCGUAGAGUUGCCUGGCAGAAAACUGUUCCCCCUGGUCCAGCUCCGGAGAACUUUCCUGGUGUCUCAAGCUCUGCUCUCCUUGACUGUUGGGCUGAACCUGCAUGGAAACAGGGCUGAAGACUGCCUUCAAGCCAUGGAGCCCACAUUUAUGACUGCAAGAAAUCCUGUUCUUGUCAAGGAAGAAAAGUAAAUGACCUCCGGCGGGGGAGGAGAGGCAUUCCUUUCAUCCCCAGCUGGGAAAGUAACAGCUGCAGUGCUGGUUACCAUGGAUGCUGGCUGCUGCCACUUUGACUAUGCCUAUGUGUACCAGAAUGAGAAGGAAGUUGGGGAGGGUAUCCAGCAGGAAAUCAAGGAGGGUGUUGUGAAACAAGAGGACCUCUUCAUCAUCAGUAAGCUAGCGUCCCAACAGAGAUUAUUUCAAGCAUUUCUUUCUCGUGGACAAGCAGGACAGGAUGAGCUGUUUUCCCACAGAUGACAGAGACAUGUCUAUACCUGGCAACAGUGAUAAUUCUACAAACAUGGGAGGCCAUGAAAGAGCUGGUGGAUGCUGGUCUGGUAAAAGCCAUUGGGAUCUCCAACUUUAACCACAAGCAGAUUGAAAGAAUCCUGAACAAGCCAGGACUGAAGUACAAGCCUGCAAAUAACAAGGUAAACUGCUAAGUGACUGCAGGUGAAUAGUUUUCAGCGAUUAUAAAGAUCUGGUUACAGUUGAAUGGGGAUAUGGAAAAAGGAAGAAUGAAGUAGACACAGCACAUACUCUAAAUGCUACUCUGUGGAUAUUUCUGAGUACUCAAGGCACUCAGAUACUUCGGUGUUUUUCUCACCUUGCUGAACCACUGUUUACAAAUUUUGGAGUAUUUCCCUGGAAACUUUCAUUCUGGAAGAAUAAAGAACCCAGAGAUGAGCUUUGUGAAACUCCCACAGCAAAACUUGUAUAUGCAUUUUGUGUAAAAAUAGGUGCCUUCAAUACUAAGGACGCAUAUUACCAUGCAGGCCACUGGUAAAUUAGGGGAAAAGACAGCCUCUAAUUGGAUUAGGAGAUAAUCCACAGAGCACAACAAUAUUACAACAGUUCUUCCACUAUCAGCCUCUGUGCCUCUGUGUUGGCAGGUCAAAUGUCAUCCAUACCUCACAUCCAGGAGACGCUGAUUACGUACUGUCAAUCCAAAGGGAUUGCUGUAGCAGCCUACUGUCCCCUUGGCUCUCCUGACAAGCCACAGUAAGAAUGCUUUGCGAUUUUCAAGGGAGCUGGUAUGGAUUAGGCUGGUGACAUUGAGUCUACAACUGCACUACUAAUCAUUCCUCUAGAUACACAUCUCUGUUGCUAGGCUGGAUCUUUCUAUGCAGGUUUCUUGCCACUGAUUUAUUUUCUCUGUGUACAGCUAAGCCGGAGGAUGCUUCCAUUCUGGAUGACCCAAAGAUCAGAGAGAUUGCAGCCAAGCAAAACAGAACCCCAGCACAGAUAUAUAGGUGCAGUACACUGGGUACCCCUUCCUAUAACACGGCCAUUGAAGAAAACAGAGCUUAGGACUAGGUAGAAUCUCCAUUCAUUCCCCGUGAAUUGUGACAUUCCUGUGAUUUUUCCCUAACAAUGCAGAUUUUUUUCUCUUAUGGCCUCCAAAACAUGAUACUGUUAUCUCUUUGGCCCUCAAAAACAUUUUUGACUCAUCUUCAAAUAUCAUUUCCCCUCUCAAGUCCUCUUGCAGAGAAUCAGAGCCUUCCAUGGACUGCUGAAAGUCCAGGUGGGAAGAGAAGAAACUAACUGCCUCAAAAUUGAAUGGGAAAGGAGGCCUUCCAUGUGGGCCUCCACCAAUUCCCUAUGCACCCCCCAGGAAGUGCUACCUAGGCCACAGGGACAGAAAUUAUUUGAAAUGCAGCUCCACACAAAGGGUUUAGUUCUACUGAAAUACUGACUUGAUGGCAAACAGCUGUUAGAACAGACUCUGCUUUCUACAAAGCAGGAGCCAUCCUCUCUGACUCAGUGGUCUGUUCCUGCAGGUUCUCCUUCACUUCCAGAUCCAAAUAAAUGUGAUUGCAAUUCCCAAGUCUGUCACACCACAGCAUAUAUUGGAGAACUUCAAGGUCCAAAACUCACAAGGAGUACCCUUUCCAUGCAGAAUACUGAAGAUGGUUGUAACAUGGCCUUCACUAGACCUCUGGUGUCUCAUGUGCCUCUGUUCCAACUUUGAGCUCUUUAGUUUUUGUCCUACAUCUGUUCUGCUGCUGACAGUGAAGAUACAGAAUGUUUAUCCCACGAAAUUUCUUUGAGUCCUUUUUCUGGAAGAAGGAAAGAUUGCUUUCUGCAGAACAAAAUGUGGGAUGUAAUAUUUUUCUGCUUAUUAGAAGAGAGGCUUACUACUGAAGAGCCUAGGUAGAGCUGUUAAGCAGAAAAUGGGGACAGUUUGUACCACCAUUCAGUAAUUGCCUUCUGUCUUGCCUCAGCAGAAACCAGAUGUUGACCAGAGACACAAUAAAAACCUAUGCACCCACAAU